rnacentral:rRNA from 1 species
UACGUAGGGUGCAAGCGUUAAUCGGAAUUACUGGGCGUAAAGCGUGCGCAGGCGGUUUUGUAAGCCAGAUGUGAAAUCCCCGGGCUUAACCUGGGAAUGGCAUUUGGGACUGCAAGGCUGGAGUACGGCAGAGGAGACUGGAAUUCCUGGUGUAGCAGUGAAAUGCGUAGAGAUCAGGAGGAAUACCGAUGGCGAAGGCAGGUCUCUGGGCUGAUACUGACGCUCAUGCACGAAAGCGUGGGGAGCAA